UACAGAGGUGGCAAGCGUUGUUCGGAAUUACUGGGCGUAAAGGGCGCGUAGGCGGCCUUCUAAGUCGGACGUGAAAGCCCCAGGCUUAACCUGGGAACUGCGUCCGAUACUGGGAGGCUUGGAUUCGGGAGAGGGAUGUGGAAUUCCAGGUGUAGCGGUGAAAUGCGUAGAUAUCUGGAGGAACACCGGUGGCGAAGGCGGCAUCCUGGACCGAGAUCGACGCUGAGGCGCGAAAGCUAGGGGGAGCAAACGGG
rnacentral:rRNA from 1 species